rnacentral:lncRNA from 10 species
CUCACCCAUUCCUUCCGUCUGGAUACAGGGCAGCAGAAAUCAGCAGAAUGCUUUUAUUCACAGAAAUGCAUACCUUACGCACGUGUGCAUGCACCUUCUCCAGGCAGGAAGAGUUUCCUGUGCACCCCUCACCUCCACCCAUAGGAAGAGCUAUGGGACCUACAGGAACUCCAGUGCUCCUGGGGCACUCCCAGCCUGUGGCACUGGAGUGUCACGUGGACAACAGAGGGUGGCUUUGUGGUCAGAACAGCAUGGGCUCAAAUCCAGCUUGGUCUUGCCUUGGCCUGCGUAGCCCGGGCAGCUCUUCUGCCUCCCCCAACCCAGGGAAGUGGGGUUGAUGUUCUGAAUCUGCAGGGCUCUUGGAGAAGUUACAGGGUGCCUGACACAUGGGAGCCAGGCUCUGCCCACAGUCACCCAGCCAGCAUGUUGCAGAGCCAGGAUUUUAAAUUAGAUCCAGCCAGUUCCAGAAUCAUUACUUUUUCCGUUCCGUAUGCAUACCAGGCUGCCUCUUUCUAGAUUAUCCUCCAAAAAGCCCUGGGGAGGCGGCAGCAGCAUGAGCGGCAGACAGGCGGCCAAGAAGUGAGGCCCCAGACAGGGAUCUGAGCGUGAUCUUUGCCCUUGGGACGCAAGGCAUCCAUCCAAGAGGUCACAGAAAUCAGCAGCUUUCACCGGGAAGCCCCAAGUCCUGGGAUUGGGGUGCUGAAGGGGGAUCCAAAAAAAACAGUCAUUGAUUUGGAAGGAGAUGCUGUUCUCCAUCUCAGCCAGCUGUUAAAGGGACAUGGAUUGAACUCCCAGGCAGGGAGGGGCAUUUUGUUUCCCUUGGCCACAUCAGCAUGUUUUUACAGUUGAGAGAGCAGGAGAUGACUCUCCAGCCUGUGGCAGAGAGAAAGUGCCCUUGGCCCAACUCCGUGGAAGAUGUUCCCCACCCCCCUUCCAGGAGAAGCUCCUGCUGGUGGAUGCACGAACCCAGCUGGUGGCGACACAAGGCCAGUGGGCACUCUCUGCCUUGCUGAGGCCUCAGCCUCCUGGCUGCGAAGGCCCCGGGUUCCCCUCUGCAGCCAAGUCUUUACUUCCCCUUCACCCUGAAAAACGUCUUCACAGACUAUCAUUCUUGGUCUCUUGACUGCCUUUCUCCGGUUUCCUUUCACAAUCCCUCAGAGAUGGGACAUCUCUCCAGAGGACGCCUGGGUUGUGAGGAUCUAUGGUCAGAACAUUUUGGUCAAUGACAGAUUACAUACACCACAGUGGCUCCCUCAGAUUAUAAAGGAGCUGAAUAAUUC